rnacentral:rRNA from 1 species
ACGUAGGCGGCAAGCGUUGUCCGGAAUUAUUGGGCGUAAAGGGAGCGCAGGCGGGAAACUAAGCGGAUCUUAAAAGUGCGGGGCUCAACCCCGUGAUGGGGUCCGAACUGGUUUUCUUGAGUGCAGGAGAGGAAAGCGGAAUUCCCAGUGUAGCGGUGAAAUGCGUAGAUAUUGGGAAGAACACCAGUGGCCAAGGCGGCUUUCUGGACUGUAACUCACGCUGAGGCUCGAAAGCUAGGGUAGCGAACGG